rnacentral:rRNA from 1 species
AGGGUUCGAUUCUGGCUCAGGAUGAACGCUGGCGGCGUGCUUAACACAUGCAAGUCGAACGGGAAAUAUUUUAUUGAAACUUCGGUCGAUUUAAUCUAUUUCUAGUGGCGGACGGGUGAGUAACGCGUGGGUAACCUGCCUUAUACUGGGGGAUAACAGUCAGAAAUGGCUGCUAAUACCGCAUAAGCGCACGGGGCCGCAUGGCCCAGUGUGAAAAACUCCGGUGGUAUAAGAUGGACCCGCGUUGGAUUAGCUAGUUGGCAGGGCAGCGGCCUACCAAGGCGACGAUCCAUAGCCGGCCUGAGAGGGUGAACGGCCACAUUGGGACUGAGACACGGCCCAG